UACGGUAGGGUGCAAGCGUUGUCCGGAAUUAUUGGGGCGUAAAGAGCUCGUAGGCGGUCUGUCGCGUCGGCUGUGAAAACCCGAGGCUUAACCUCGGGCCUGCAUUCGAUACGGGCUGACUAGAGUUCGGUAGGGGAGACUGGAAUUCCUGGUGUAGCGGUGAAAUGCGCAGAUAUCAGGAGGAACACCGGUGGCGAAGGCGGGUCUCUGGGCAGUAACUGACGCUGAGGAGCGAAAGCGUGGGGAGCGAACAGG
rnacentral:rRNA from 1 species